rnacentral:rRNA from 1 species
UACGAAGGGGACUAGCGUUGUUCGGAAUCACUGGGCGUAAAGCGCACGUAGGCGGAUGUGUCAGUCAGGGGUGAAAUCCCGGGGACUCAACCUCGGAACUGCCUUUGAUACAGCACGUCUCGAGUCCGGAAGAGGUGGGUGGAAUUCCUAGUGUAGAGGUGAAAUUCGUAGAUAUUAGGAAGAACACCGUGGCGAAGGCGGCCCACUGGUCCGGUACUGACGCUGAGGUGCGAAAGCGUGGGGAGCAAACAGG